AAACCAAAUCCUAAACCCUAAACCAAAUCCUAACCAAAUCCUAACCCUAAAUCAAAUCCUAACCAAAUCCUAACCCUAAAUCAAACCCUAAUCUAAUCUUAAAUCCUAAAUUAAAUCCUAAUUAAACCUUAAAUCCUAAACCAAACCCUAAACCCUAAACCAAAUCCUAACCAAAUCCUAACCUUAAAUCAAAUCCUAACCAAAUCCUAAAUCCUAAACUAAAUCCUAAUCAAAUCUUUAAUCCUAAGCCAAACCCUAAGUCCUAAACCAAAUCCUAACCAAAUUUUAAUCCUAAAUCAAACCCUAACUAAAUCCUAACCUUAAAUCAAAUCCUAACCAAAACCUAAAUCCUAAACCAAAUCCUAAUAAAAUCUUUAAUCCUAAGCCAAAUCCUAAAUCCUAAACCAAAUCCUAACCAAAUUCUAAUCCUAAAUCAAACCCUAACCAAAUUCUAAACCCUAAAUCAAAUCCUAACUAAAUCCUAGUAAUUUCUACAAUAGAUUUAAAUAUCAAUAACUAAUAAAUGAACCGUUGAUUUUAACUCAAAUUUUGAAAAAAAAUUAAAAACUAAAUUAAAAAAAAAGAUUUUUUUUUUAAAAAUGAUCAAAAUUACCAAAUAGACAAUAACCUCAAAAAUGUGCUCGGGUAUUGGCUAGCCUCCUUCUCCAACCUUGAUGCCAAUCUUCUAGAGCCAAUAUCUCUCUUUUUUACUAUUCAAUUGAUUUCAAAAUUUUUAUAUACAUAAAAACAAGUCUACUAUCCUUAUUUAUAAAUU
rnacentral:lncRNA from 1 species